CACAUAUGUUGAUCUUUGCCACUAUGGUGGUGAAGGGGAUUCUGGUAUAUUUUUGCGGUCAGAUUUGCUCAAAACCCUCAGCGAAGACUUGUGUGGUGUUCCAUCCCCCACCACUGUCGGGUCGGCAGGUGUCAUUCCCUAUGUGAUAGUAGGGGAUGAAGCCUUCCCUUUGAAAACAUUCCUCAUGCGUCCCUAUGCCCGUCGUGGUGAGCCUGUUUAUGAAUAGCAUUAUGCAUUUUACAGCCAGUAAUUGCAUGAUGCUCAUUGAAGUUGCUGCCCAGGAAGUUUUUCUGUUGUUUUCUAUUUUAGAGCAAAUAUCUGGGUGAAGUACCCUAGUCAAAUAGGACCAAGCAGCAUAAUGCACAUUUAAAGAGACGGUUUUGCUUGUGAUCCUUGAAGUUGACAUAAAGAUCUCUUUUCUGUUACAGCAACCGGCAACAUAUUUUUACUCAAAAGCAGUAGUACUUAUCGUAACCAAGCUCACUUUAUUUUGAAAUCAAGUAUACGAUAGAAGCCAUUCUGGGUGACACAAUGCAUUUUGUAAAGCGCCAUUCUGAACAGAAAGCUGUUGUCAAACACAGCCAUGAUUUACUUUAUUUUUCAUUGUUCCUUUACCCUUUUGUAAAAAUUUAAUAUGAUUUGGAGUGGCAAAAUUCUUUCAAAUAAUAUGCCUCAUGUUGUCCUUUCUAGACCUGCAGAAGCACAGAUUAAGCCCAUCUGGACGUGAGGAGUACCAGCAAAGAGCAACUUUCAACUACCGUUUAAGCCGGGCUCGCCGGGUCAUUGAAAAUUCGUUUGGCAUAAUGGCUGCAAGAUGGCGAAUAUUAAGGAGGCCCUUUAGAGCAUCAGAGAAAACAACAGAAAAUAUUUGCAAGGCAUGUGUUGUGCUACAUAACUUCAUGAUGUCGGAGAGCGCAUUGGCACGAUGUGCCUACAGCCCACCUGGCUAUGCCGACAGUGAGGACUGGCAAGGAAACGAAACUCCAGGCUUAUGAAGGACAGACGGCAAUGACCUUCCAGCAAUGAGAGGGAUAAGUAGACAAGGCUGCCACUCUGCAAGGUCUGCUAUGGAUGUGCGCGACAGACUGGCACAAUAUUUUGUCACGGAUGGCAAAGUUCCAUGGCAAGGAUCGUCAACCGUGCAGGACGGAAGGAAGAAUGAAACUUGCAAGUACGUACCGUGAAGGUGGCCCUCCGGCAGGUGUUCCUUUGGACAGCCUUGAGAAGAAAAAGCACAAAAACAAGUCAAGAAAUGACUACAUGGCAAAGUUUGCUUGCUUGUGUACCUGGCCGGCGGCGUGUAUUGCCCAAGUGGACCAGUCUCAGCUGGUGCAAGGCUAAAGAGGAGGUGGCCCCCGGUUUUGAGCUGGUGAAGGGCAACAAGACCCUGAAAACCCAGCUUGAGCAGGUGCUGGGCUGCGUGACAAACAAUGCACUUCUGAAUUUUCUGACAUAGAUCACUUACUGCAAAAUGCCUGCAAAUGUCAGUAAAAAGGAUGGUAGAUGCUUACCUGCUGUCGUCGUCAUCCGAGUUGACGACUGUGUCGUCGUACCUGGAUUGUACAAAAUGUGAGUUCACUGAACUUGCAGCAUGAUAUAGACUUACGCAUGGAUGUGUCUACUUACAAUGCGAGAAGUUGCGCUUCUGCAGGGCUCUGGCUGUUUAUAUCAGCACUGCAUCAAAUAAAUGUAUUAAAACAUGA